UUACGGUCACAUCACGUUGUAACACCGGUUCUCGUACGAUCACCGAAGUUAAGCAACGUCGAGCCUGGCGAGUACCUAGAUGGGCCACCGUUUGGGAAUAUCAGAUGCUAUA